ACUUCAUGUUCUCCUUCCUCUUGUUCUGCUUCUGCUAUUUUACCUUCGGGAUCUUCACCUAAAUAAAAUAAAUUGAGCAAAAUAUUGAAAUACUUUCAACAAAAUAAUAGAAGAAGCACUAUCGCAACGGGAGAAAACAGUAAUCAUAAAUAUAGUCAUACCUUAUAUUUCUAUAUCAAUUUCGUCCAGCUCUUCAUCUGCAUAGAAUUCUUGAAAGUCAAGUUUACCACUAUCAUCAUCAUCUACAAACUGCAAUAUGCUUGCAAUUGCAUCCUCAGCAGAAAUUCUCUGCCUUUUCGGCUCCAUCUUUUUUACUUAUAUGAAACUUUGUACUAAGAAAUAUAAAAAAUGUCAUUCUAACUGUUCAUAUCAGAAUACAUGUCAUCAUCAAUAGGAAUAAUAUAAUGAUUCAUUAGUUACUUCAUUUACUGCUAAAUGUGAUUUUAUGAAGUGUAUAUUCAUGUAAGACCUAUAUUAAAGAUAAUUAACUCCUAUAUAUACGGAGGUGUGGCACUCGAGGCCCAAAAUAUGCUGAUAUCAGCAGCAAAAAUUUGAAAAUCAUAAGGCAAAACCACAUUUUUUUUAAAAUUACCCAGGGCUGAGUGUAGUUUUGAUAGCUUUGGCCAGCACUGAAGCGUGCGAUAGCUCAUGUCAAACUGCUAGGGUUUCAACAUGGCUAGCUCCUCAAAAGCACCAAAGAUUGUUAGGGGAAGCAAGUAUAGAGUUUACCUUGGAACUGGAGAGAAGGCAAAGGAGUUCUACGAGAACUUAAUACGUCUAAAAGAAAAGUUUUUAUACAACCAAGAUUUCUUCACUUGGGUUCAUGAAGUUUUGAGGGCACACCACAAUAAAGAUUCCAGAAACAGUAUUAUGUUACUAAACUCUUCAAAGAGAAUGGUGCAUACUCCAUGCAGUGAAGUUGUAGUACUAAAAAAGAAAAGACAGUCAUCAAGUAGCUCGUCUAAAGAUUCAUCGACUUCUUUUACUUCACCUCUCUCAUGCUUACUUUCGCCAACAUAUGAUAGCAGCAGUAACACAAAGUCUUCAAUAACUGGUCCUAAUGAUACACCACGUGUUGUUAUUGUUAGCUCAAAAAAGGCUAAAACUGAAAUGGAGAUUGAAAAAAAGAUUCAAAUUUCCCAUCGAUGGAAAUAUUAAAGUAUAUAAAGCAAAUUUGUAAAUUAUAUACAAGAGUAGCUGGCUGAUUUGUUUCUGGAAAGCAUGAUAUAUAUAUAUAUAGCUAUAUGUGAUUUCAAAGCUUUACUGUUUGCAGGUGCAAGUCUUUUGCCAAUGUUUUGUGUUAGCCUACUGUCCAAAGCGCAUUGGGUACAAAAAUGAUAUCAAUUAGCAUAUUUGGACUUUAACGGUCAUUUAAAUUGAGGACAGCUUCAAAAAAAAAAUGGUUCACUUGUUUAUGUCCGCAGAUAUGGAAAGAGGACAAAGCAAUGGUUUUUAGUAGCAGUACCUAAACCAAAGGACUAUAUCUAUAUACGAAGACUCAUGGCAGAAAUACUAUGGAGACGUCAUGUUGACAAGGGAAAUGUUAAUCGCGUAGGGAUUGGACGAGAAUGUACUAAAGCAUUACGUCAAAAUAUUGCUGCAACAGCUGCUCCUCCCAUGGAAUUAUUACUUGAAAAACAUCAAGCAAGAGAAGAAAUGAAACUCCAAUAACUCUUAUCUGU